rnacentral:rRNA from 1 species
CCCUUAGAUGUUCUGGGCUGCACGCGCGCUACACUGAUGCGAUCAACAAGUUUUUCCUAUGUCGAUAGACACGGGUAAUCUUUUGAACUCGCAUCGUGAUGGGGAUAGAUUAUUGUAAUUAUUAAUCUUCAACGAGGAAUUCCUAGUAGGUGCAAAUCAUCAGUUUGCAUCUAUUACGUCCCUGCCCUUUGUACACACCGCCCGUCGCUGCUACCGAUUGGUUGAUCUGGUGAAUUAUUCGGACUGCCGGCUGAAGGGGUUUCCUCAUCUGCCAGCGGAAAGUCUUGUUAACCCUAUCAACUAGAGGAAGCAGAAGUCGUAACA